rnacentral:misc_RNA from 1 species
UGUCGACUCCUCCUAAAAAUAAAAAAAAAUGACAUGACAAAAUCACCUUUACUCUGCAGUAUAUUUGUGCAGAAAAAACUUUGUAUAUGUAUGUAGUGUUAAGUGCAGGUCGUACAGUAUGUCUGGCGGAGAGAUACGGGAGGGCUUUUUGUGCCCGAUGUGUAUGAAGGAUCUAGGAACAGUGAGCCAGUUACAGUCUCACUUUGAGGAGGCACACAGCACUGAGGACAAAGCUACUCUCAAUCAGCUUAGAGGAUUGUUUGAUAGAGCAAAAAAGAAGUUUCUUGGUGAUAAAGAAGGAGAGUAUGUGUCUGAUACAAGUAAAGCAAGCACUAGUAUUGCAGUAACUCAGGCAACAAGUCUCUACGAUGUUGAUUACUGGCAGCAACAAGAAUUAGGAAAGACUCGUAGUUGGACAGAUUUUUUCCGAGGAUUAAGAGAUGCAAGAGUGGAUAAAUAUGUUGUGGAAACCAAUAAGAUAUUAAUACGCCUUGAUAAACUGAUCAGCUCGGAGAUCCCAACUGAUUCAGGAAAAAGAAAAGCAUUUGAAAAGACAGUGGUCAUGUGGAUGCCAGAUAGUGAAGUAAAGAACUGUCGAUAUUGUGGUCGCUCAUUUAGCCUGACAAGACGUAGACACCAUUGUCGUCUCUGUGGUGGCAUCAUGUGUGAUAGAUGCUCACAUUUUCUUACUCAUGAUUAUGCAAGAAGUGCAGCAGAAAAGCUAACAAACCCAUCAUUCAGCUUUGAGGGAGGAAGGGACUCCGGUUUUCUGAAGCGUUCAGGAAGCAACUCUAGUCUAAAUUCCCUGUUCAGCACCGAGGGUGACCCACAUAUACGUGCCUGUGAAGACUGUAGAAAAUUGCUGGAGAGGCGUGAUCAACAAAUGGAACAGCGCAAUACAAAGUCCACCAUUGUCUUAUUAUAUGAGAAAAUGAAAUUCUGUAUUGGAGAAUGUGAAGGAAUGUUGGAGAAUUACUUACCAAUGGUUGAAUCUCUUAGUGCUGGAGAGUCAGCUUACAGUUUAAGUACUGCCCAAAGACGAAGACAGGAGCUAGUGAAAAAAUAUGAAAUUAUUGAUCAAAUAAGCAAAAGAAUUGCCUUACUGGAUUCUAAUAAGGAAGAAGGACUUUCACCGAAGGAGGCUUUAUUACAGAAGUCUAUACGUGUGUAUGCCUCAAACUUUAUGCAGGAAAACAUGAUGGGACUGCAAAACUUGCCUUCUGAAGAACAGUAUCAAAAAUUACAGCAGAAACAUACAGCUCAAGUUCAGAAACAGAUUGCUCUAGAACGGCAAGCUGUGCAACUGGCACAGGCCGAAGAGAAAAAACUUGCAGAAAAGGAGAAGUAUGGAUCGCCGAGUAAAGACGAGGACGGGCAUGAUAGAUCUAGUUCUCAAAAACACUCUAGAAAUAAAAGUGACGGCUGGAAGCCAACAGAACAUAAUGUAAGAGGGACAGAUGAGGAUCCUAUGUUGCAGCAAAUGGAAAUUAUUAGAGUUUAUAUUCAACAGGCAAAACAAGCCAAGAAAUGGGAUGAAGUAAAUAUGUUAGAACAGAAUCUGAGGGAUCUACAGAUGGAGUAUUCUAGUCAACAAAAACAGACCUGGUCCUAGAGUUGUGAUACAAGUAGCCAGGCCAAGGGGAAGUGCAUGUUUUUACUCUGUCUUUUUAAUAGCUAUUGCAAGUCCAAAUAAAUUGGUGUGUGCUGGCAUAUCCAGUUUAUUUUUAGUUUAGUUUAUUUAUGUUUGGCUUUGGAGCUUUCUAUUGUUAUAGUGAUGCUUGCCAGAUGUUUGAUCAGGUAACAUACAGCAUUGUUGUAUUAAAUGUUACUACCUUAGCAGCCUCAUAUAAAAAGAAAUCUAGUCUCCAUUCAGUUUUAAAAGCUUGAAAAUCAAAUUUGAUUGUAGCUUAGUGCUUUAUAGCCUGCAUCUUAGGGUUGUUAUUCCUUUAAUUUUCCUUACUACUUACAUCAUAUAUAUUUAUAAUGAUACAAUUAUACAUGAUUUGAUUGUUGUACAUUUUUGGUACUCUGGAUUAGCAGAAUUUUUAAUGCUUUAAAAUUUCAAAGUUUGAUUCAUCAGUGCUUUGAAGUCAGUGCUAGAUAUGACAUUUGAGCUGUGCCAUGAGAAAAUCAACAUAGUGGCUUUGCGACCAGCAUGGAUCCUGACCAGACUGUGCAGAUGCGCAGGCUGGUCUGGAUUCAUGCUGGUCACAAAGCCACUAUGUUGGUUUUCUAUUGGCGCAGCUCAUUUAUUGAUUUAUUUGAUCGAUCAUCGAGUCGUUAGUUCUAUCCCAGUGUGAGACAUAUUUUUUUUUUUGACAAUUUCAUAAGUGAAAUUGUGUCUGAUGUCAAUUUGUCCUCCACCGCUGAUUCAUGUGUAGAAGUUGGCAGAUACUUUGUGAAAACGGGUCAGAACAAAAACAAGGACACUGAUUAGGUUAACUCCCCUACAUUACAUGACUAAAAUACUGUUGAAAAACAGCUUUAAACUGAAAACAAACGAACAAACGUGUCUAAUGUAUUGCAGUAACGCAUUUAAAGUUCAUAAGAUGCAUUUGUACUUCAUACUUAUGUAGUGCCAUUUUAAGGAGCUUUGUUUGUUUGUUUGGGGUUUAACGCCGUUUUUCAACAGUAUUUCAGUCAGGUAACGGCGGGCAGUUAACCUAACCAGUAUUCCUGGAUUCUGUACCAGUAAAAACCUGUUCUCCGCAA